rnacentral:rRNA from 1 species
AUUGAACGCUGGCGGCAUGCUUUACACAUGCAAGUCGAACGGUAACAGGGUGCUUGCACCGCUGACGAGUGGCGAACGGGUGAGUAAUGCGUCGGAACGUGCCGAGUAGUGGGGGAUAACGCAGCGAAAGUUGUGCUAAUACCGCAUACGUACUGAGGUAGAAAGUGGGGGACCUUCGGGCCUCACGCUAUUCGAGCGGCCGACGUCUGAUUAGCUAGUAGGUGAGGUAAAGGCUCACCUAGGCGACGAUCAGUAGCGGGUCGGAGAGGAUGAUCCGCACGACUGGGACUGAGACACGGCCCAGACUCCUACGGGAGGCAGCAGUGGGGAAUUUUGGACAAUGGGCGAAAGCCUGAUCCAGCCAUGCCGCGUGUCUGAAGAAGGCCUUCGGGUUGUAAAGGACUUUUGUCGGGGAGGAAAUCCCCAGCGUUAAUACCGCUGGGGGAUGACAGUACCUGAAGAAUAAGCACCGGCUAACUACGUGCCAGCCGCCGCCGUAAAAC